rnacentral:rRNA from 1 species
CUCUGGACUGUAACUGACGCUGAGGCACGAAAGCGUGGGCAGCAAACAGGAUUAGAUACCCUGGUAGUCCACGCCGUAAACGAUGAGUACUAGGUGUCGGGGGUUACCCCCUCCGUCGCCGCAGCUAACGCACUAAGUACUCUGCCUGGGAAGUACGCCCGCAAUAGUGAAACCCAACGGAAUUGUCGGGGACCCGCACAAGUAGCGGUGCAUGUGGCCUACUUCCAAGCAACGCGUACAACCUUACCUAAGACAUCCCAAUGACAUCUCCUUAAUCGGAGAGUUCC